AUUGAACGCUGGCGGCAGGCCUAACACAUGCAAGUCGAGCGGAUGAAGGGAGCUUGCUCCUGGAUUCAGCGGCGGACGGGUGAGUAAUGUCUAGGAAUCUGCCUGGUAGUGGGGGAUAACGUCCGGAAACGGGCGCUAAUACCGCAUACGUCCUGAGGGAGAAAGUGGGGGAUCUUCGGACCUCACGCUAUCAGAUGAGCCUAGGUCGGAUUAGCUAGUUGGUGGGGUAAAGGCCUACCAAGGCGACGAUCCGUAACUGGUCUGAGAGGAUGAUCAGUCACACUGGAACUGAGACACGGUCCAGACUCCUACGGGAGGCAGCAGUGGGGAAUAUUGGACAAUGGGCGAAAGCCUGAUCCAGCCAUGCCGCGUGUGUGAAGAAGGUCUUCGGACUGUAAAGCACUUUAAGUUGGGAGGAAGGGCAGUAAGUUAAUACCUUGCUGUUUUGACGUUACCAACAGAAUAAGCACCGGCUAACUUCGUG
rnacentral:rRNA from 1 species